rnacentral:rRNA from 1 species
UCAAGCUACAAAGAGCGCAAGGGGAAUGCCUUGGCACUGGGAGCCGACGAAGGACGUAGCGAUCUACGAUAAGCCACGGUGAGCCGAAAGCAGGCAUCGACCCGUGGAUUUCCGAAUGGGGCAACCUGGCUGAAUAGAACUCAGUCAACAUACGGUGAAUAAAAUAGUCGUAUGUAGGGAACCGCCUGAACUGAAACAUCUAAGUAGGGCGAGGAAAAGAAAUCAACCGAGAUUCCGCAAGUAGUGGCGAGCGAACGCGGAAGAGGCCAAACCGAGAGUAGUAAUACUUUCGGGGUUCGGACAGCGGACGGUAUGCUGAAGGUUAGCAGAAGGACAUGGGACGGUCCACCAAAGAGAGUGAGAGUCUCGUAUGCGAAAACUGAAAGCAGCCAGCUGAAUCCAGAGUACCGCCGGACACGUGAAACCCGGUGGGAAUAUGGGGGGACCAUCCUCCAAGCCUAAAUACUACCCAGUGACCGAUAGCGUAUAGUACUGUGAAGGAAAGGUGAAAAGAACCCCGGGAGGGGAGUGAAAAGAACCUGAAACCUUGUGCUUACAAGCACACAAAGCACGUCAACGUGUGAUGUGGUACCUUUUGUAGAAUGGUCCGGCGAGUGAAUGUAACUGGCGAGGUUAAGUUCUUAAGGAACGGAGCCGAAGCGAAAGCGAGUCUGAAUAGGGCGUCUUAGUCAGUUGUAUUCGACCCGAAACCGGGUGACCUAUCCAUGUCCAGGAUGAAGUUAAGGUAAAACUUGAUGGAGGUCCGAACCCACGGUCGUUGAAAUGCCCGGGGAUGAGAUGUGGAUAGCGGAGAAAUUCCAAUCGAACCCGGAUAUAGCUGGUUCUCUCCGAAAUAGCUUUAGGGCUAGCCUCGACUGAACAUUACCGGAGGUAGAGCACUGAAUGGGCUAGGGGCCGAGAGGUUACUGAACCCUAUCAAACUUCAAAUGCCGGAAAAUGAUAGUCGGGAGUCAGACUGCGUGAGAUAAGUUUCGUAGUCGAAAGGGAAACAGCCCAGACCCACAGCUAAGGUCCCAAAGUACGGUUAAGUGGAAAAGGAUGUGGAGUUGCACAGACAACCAGGAUGUUGGCUUAGAAGCAGCCACUCAUUAAAAGAGUGCGUAAUAGCUCACUGGUCGAGUGACUCUGCGCCGAAAAUUUAACGGGGCUAAAUCGUACACCGAAGCUUGGGAUGUAUCUAUGAUACAUGGUAGGAGAGCGUUGAAUGCGGGGUGAAGUCAGAGCGAAAGCGCUGGUGGACUGCAUUGAAGUGAGAAUGCCGGAAUGAGUAGCGAGAUUUAUGUGAGAAUCAUAAAGGCCGAAAGACUAAGGUUUCAGAAGGAAGGUUCGUCCGCUUCUGGUUAGCCGGGAGCUAAGGUGAGGCCGAAAGGCGUAGCCGAUGCACAUACGGUGGAGAUUCCGUAGCCGUCGAAAUAUUUAAGCAAAGGGACACUUAUGAAGGACAUGACCCGGGCGAUGGUAGCCCCGGGCGUAAGGGACUGAAAACAAGUAGGGAAGCAUGUUUGGAUUAAGGCGAGAAAAGCUUUGUGUAUAUAUGAGACGUCCGUACCGCAAACCGACACAGGUAGUCAGGAAGAGGAUUCUAAGGCCAACGGGAGAAGGGUAGUUAAGGAACUCGGCAAAUUGACCCCGUAACUUCGGGAUAAGGGGCGGUGCGUAAGCACCCGCAGUGAAUAGGUCCAGGCGACUGUUUAUCAAAAACACAGCUCUCUGCUAAAUCGAAAGAUGACGUAUAGGGGGUGACACCUGCCCGGUGCUGGAAGGUUAAGAGGAGGAGUGCAAGCUCCGAAUUGAAGCCCCAGUAAACGGCGGCCGUAACUAUAACGGUCCUAAGGUAGCGAAAUUCCUUGUCGGGUAAGUUCCGACCCGCACGAAUGGUGUAACGAUCUGGACACUGUCUCAACUACCCACCCGGCGAAAUUGUAGUACCGGUGAAGAUGCCGGUUACCCGCGGCAAGACGGAAAGACCCCAUGGAGCUUUACUGUAACUUGAUAUUGGGUCUUGGUAUUCUAUGUACAGGAUAGGCGGGAGACUAUGAAACAUACACGCCAGUGUAUGCGGAGUCACCCUUGGGAUACCGCUCUUAGAGUACUGAGAUUCUAACCUGCGGCCGUGAAUCCGGUCGGGGGACAUUGUCAGGUGGGCAGUUUGACUGGGGCGGUCGCCUCCUAAAAGGUAACGGAGGCGCUCAAAGGUUAGCUCAGCACGGUCGGAAACCGUGCCUCUGAGUGCAAACGCAAAAGCUAGCCUAACUGCGAGGCUGACGGGCCGAGCAGUAACGAAAGUUGGAGUUAGUGAUCCGGCGGUAUGUGAAUGGAAAUGCCGUCGCUCAACGGAUAAAAGCUACCCUGGGGAUAACAGGCUGAUCUCCCCCAA